rnacentral:lncRNA from 1 species
AGCCUCCACUGGUCCUCAGCCUUUACCAUCUUUUAGAUACUGCUCUACACGUAACAGUGGUUGCAGUAUCUACUGAGUCCCUCCCACAUGCCCAGUCUCUGAUGUUCAGCAGCAGCAGCCCAGGUUGAUUUCAGUAAAUAAACAAUUGGUGAUAGAAUCCUAGCCUAGCAUAAAGAAGAUGAUAUGAACAAGAUGAGACUGCCCAUUGGGCCAUUUGGAAGACGUUCUGAACUCUGAGGAGCUUUUUGCUCAAAAUAUUGAAACAAACUCACAGGAGGUCAGCACUUACUGGUUGCAUUCAAUAUUUAUUGGACUUCUGGGUGUAAGGAAGAAAGGGGAAAGGAGGUUGAGAAAGCAAAAUCUACAAGUUGCUCCAACAGAAAUUUGAAUGACAAAAGAAAAUUCUAGCAAGAAGGAGGAUCCAAACAUAAAAGGUUACAAGUCCACGGUACAGUCAUUAGUAAUAAAUGGUGAAAAGAGGAGUCGAUAAAGGUUACAGGGAAACAAGAACUUCAACACCCAAAAGCACAGAGCGAUAUAGAUUAAGCUUACAUGUAGUAAUAGCCAGUCAACGUAUUAUUCUUUGAAAAGGUCAGGUGUGCCAAGGAGAUUAUAGAUAUGUCAGGGUGCAAAGCUAUACCAGAUGUCUCUAACUCAAUUAGCUACCGAGUCGUUUCUUGUUGGUCAUGGGGACUUUGGAAGGUUCUUUGUUAUGGGCUGCUGCACCUCUCAUGAUGUCUAAGUCUCCUCAUCCAGUCCAGUGGUUUAAAUAUACCUUCUACAUGGAACUCAUCCAAAUGUAUGUCCCUAGUUUUGAUCUCUCCUCUGAUCUCUGGCAUAAGAUGGCUUUGCCAUUCUCAGUCCCUUCUUUGCAACGUCUAAAGAAUGCCAACAACUUACAUGCCCAAAAGAGAACUGUCACCCCACAGCAUGAUUCGGGGCCUGUUUUCUAAUAAAAGUUAAAAUGUGUUAACUCUU